CUACGGGGGGCUGCAGCUAGGAAUUUUUUGCAAUGCACGCAAGUGUGACAAAGCGAGCCAGAGUGCUUUUCCGUAUUGGAAAAGCUUUUGUGAGAUGUAAAAAGUCUCACGAAUAAGGACUGGGCAAGACUGGUGCCAGCCGCCGCGGUAAUACCAGCGGUCCAAGUCGCAGCCACUUUUAUUGGGUCUAAAACAUCCGUAGCUUGCUGAGUAAGUCUCUUGUGAAAUCUGGCAUCUUAAGUGUCGGGCGUGCAAGAGAUACUGCUUAGCUAGAGACCGGGAGACGUGAAGAGUACGGAUAGGGUAGCGGUCAAAUGCGUUGAUCCUUUCUGGACUAACAAUAGCGAAGGCACUUCACGAGAACGGAUCUGACAGUGAGGGAUGAAGGCUAGGGGCGCAAAAGGGAUUAGAUACCCCGGUAGUC
rnacentral:rRNA from 1 species